rnacentral:rRNA from 1 species
GUCCAGCCGCCGCGGUAAUAAGGGGGGGGUUAGCGUUGUUCGGAAUUACUGGGCGUAAAGCGCACGUGGGCGGAUUGGAAAGUUGGGGGUGAAAUCCCGGGGCUCAACCCCGGAACUGCCUCCAAAACUAUCAGUCUAGAGUUCGAGAGAGGUGAGUGGAAUUCCAAGUGUAGAGGUGAAAUUCGUAGAUAUUUGGAGGAACACCAGUGGCGAAGGCGGCUCACUGGCUCGAUACUGACGCUGAGGUGCGAAAGUGUGGGGAGCAAACAGGAUUAGAUA